GCGGUCUCACCUGGCGGCGACCCCACCUGGCGGCGGCCGCACUCCGCGUGGGAGCCCAGAGCCGUGGCGCUGGCGUCACCUGGGCAGUUGGGAAAGCAGCGCCCGGAGCCACGGGGAGGGCAGGUGAAAGGCGGGUGGCGGGCUGCCUGCAGCGCCAGGUUUCAGUGGCUGUCCUGCUGGGGUGACCUAAGCCCUCCUCCUGGGUGAGGGGUCUGAGGCCCUGGUUACCAUGUCCUUAUCAGGCCUGGGUUGCACUUGCCCAUUCGCAGUUCCUCCUAGGCAUGGGGGUACCAAGAGAUGCCCAGGGAACCAUCUGAGCCCCAAACAAACCAUCUGACCUCCCUCUCCCCAUCAUGCGCCUGCAGCCCAGCCUUUUCCCGAUGAUUGCAGCCAUCAUUUUCCCCAGGACAGUGAUUCCUCUUUCUUCCCCCUUCUGGCCAACUGGCAUGAGGCGCCAGCCAUCAAUUUGAACUUAGUGGGAUUAUUGCUGUGUCCCGUGGUAAAUAGGUACUAGCAUCCUCCCUCUGGGCACUAAAGCUGCUAGACCCACAGAGCUCCAGGUUCCAAGGAUGAAAAGCACAAAAUCUGCAAGUGAGUCCCGGGAGAGAGAUGUCACCAGGGACAGACGUACUCCUUUCUUCCUGCUAUUAAAAUGUCAGAUCUUUGAGGGCAGCUGCUAUCCAGGUCUUGUUCACCACUGUAUCUUCAGUGCUGAGAAUGGUGCCCAGCGAAUAUUUAGUGCAAAUACUUGCCAACCAAUAUCCGGAAGCUGGCUUGAUGCUUUAUAGGGUGUGUUUAAGGAAUAUCAAACAAUACUAGCUUUUUAAAAGGCAAAUUUAUUUUUAUGAUUACCAAGUUAUACAUAUUUAUCAUAAAUGCAGAAAAAGCAGAAGAAAAUAAAAAUCACCUGGAAAUAACCAAUGUGAACUCCUACUGUACCAUGAACUUGGUCUACACUGGUGGCUUCAAGCACGUUUCUGGAGCACAGUGGUUUCAGAGAAGACACCCCAGGAGUUCUCUUGAGAGGAAAGGGGAGAGUGUAUCUGCCCCUUAAAGCUGCCAAAGAACAGGAAUUCUUUUUAAAGUUUUAUUUAAAUUUUGUUUGAAAGAAAGGGUUUGCAAUGAAAACAAUAAAAGUGGUUGAAAAAAACACCGGUCUACACCGCGGGGCUGGCAGUUCCCAUUCAGCUGACGUCCCGUUUCAUAUCACCAUCAAUAAAUAGUGCAGAUGGUCCGGGGAUCUUCUAUCGUGUAUGGCAGCUGCUGGCAUUGGACCAGCCCUUGGUGUAGACUCGCUCUCUCCUAAGAACACCGCAGAGUCAUGUGAUAGACAAAGGGAGCCUUUAGCUGCAAAAAACCAGAUGUUGCCGACUGGAAGAGACCAGUGGUAGUUGAAAGCAGAACUAUGAAUGAGUCAUGUUCAAUCAUCUCAGACAAGCAUAAAAGCAUAUAAAAGAUUAGUGCAGAAGAGAAUUUAUACCAGUCUCUGUGCCGUCUGGGAACAUGAUUUAGAUUAAAAGAAGAAGAAAAAAAUAUAUCUCCCAGCCACCUGGAGCACCGUCGUCAGAAGGCUUUUAGCAUUUGGAUUUCAAUAUCUGUCACCGUAACCGCUUAGAUGAUUUUUUAUUUUUGGAAAGCACAUUUGGUUGCCUAUCAGAACAACUAGAUCCGAAUGAGAGUUUGCCUGGUUCUGAUUCAGGUAUUAUGGCAGAGAGAGGUGACUGACUCAUAGACCUACGGGUCCCCGGAGCCAGGGCUGAGCACGCUGUGUCUCAGAUGACACAUCCAGUCCCAACGCCCCUUUGAUUUGGUGCUCAGAUAAAAAUACGUGGCCCUAUUCAACUGUGCUUGGGUUUGUCGCGUUAAGUGGCAAAUACCAGCCGGGCAAAGGACAGAGGACGUCAGAUGGAGGCCUGGUGCGAUUGCCUGGUGUCUGCGUUUAUAGGAAAGAGCUGUUCUGUUGAUUUGAAGUCUCUGAGCAAUUGCUGCUCUUCUUGGCUGCCGUUGGUUGCAAUGAACAGAGUCGACUUCACAGCCAGCAACCUGCUUACCACACAGCGCGUUGCACCACAACCUUACCAACACUUGGUAUUGUCUGACUCUUUAAUUUUAUCCAUUCUGGUGGGUAGGUGGCGGUAUCCCGCUUUGGUUUGAAGUGACAUUUUCCUGGUAACUAAUGAUGUUGAACAUUCUUUCCCUGCAUUUAGAGAACUGCUUUUGCGACAUGCCUGUUAACCCAGAUGUCCAUUAAAGUAGUUUGGAAGAUGG